rnacentral:rRNA from 1 species
UCGGGAAUUUUGGGCAAUGGGCGAAAGCCUGACACAGCAACGCCGCGUGAAGGAUGAAGUCCCUCGGGAUGUAAACUUCGUAAGAAUAGGAAGAAUAAAUGACGGUACUAUUUGUAAGGUCCGGCUAACUACGUGCCAGCAGCCGCGGUAAUACGUAGGGACCAAGCGUUGUUCGGAUUUACUGGGCGUAAAGGGUGCGUAGGCGGCAUAUCAAGUCACUUGUGAAAUCUCCGGGCUUAACUCGGAACUGCCAAGUGAUACUGAUGUGCUAGAGUGCAGAAAGGGCAACUGGAAUUCUUGGUGUAGCGGUGAAAUGCGUAGAUAUCAAGAGGAACACCUGAGGUGAAGACGGGUUGCUGGGCUGACACUGAGGUGCGAAAGCGUGGGGAGCAAACAGGAUUAGAUACCCCGGUAGUCCCUGAGCGGGCUGGCAAGGCGCAU